rnacentral:rRNA from 1 species
AUUGAACGUUGGCGGCAGGCCUAAAACAUGCAAGUCGAACGGUAACAGCGGAAGCUUGCUUCCGGCUGACGAGUGGCGGACGGGUGAGUAAUACGCAGGAAUCUGCCCAGUAGUGGGAGACAACCCGGGGAAACCCGGGCUAAUACCGCAUACGCUCUACGGAGGAAAGCGGGGGCUCUUCGGACCUCGCGCUAUCGGAGGAGCCUGCGGCGGAUUAGCUAGUUGGUGGGGUAAAGGCCUACCAAGGCGACGAUCCGUAGCUGGUCUGAGAGGACGAUCAGCCACACUGGAACUGAGACACGGUCCAGACUCCUACGGGAGGCAGCAGUUAGGAAUCUUGGGCAAUGGGCGCAAGCCUGACCCAGCCAUGCCGCGUGUGUGAAGAAGGCCUUCGGGUUGUAAAGCACUUUCAGUGGUGAAGAAAAGCUCGGGGCGAAUAUCCCCGAGUUUUGACGUUAUCCACAGAAGAAGCACCGGCUAACUCCGUGCCAGCAGCCGCCGUAAGAC